ACCAAGGCGACGACGGGUAGCCGGCCUGAGAGGGUGACCGGCCACACUGGGACUGAGACACGGCCCAGACUCCUACGGGAGGCAGCAGUGGGGAAUAUUGCACAAUGGGCGCAAGCCUGAUGCAGCGACGCCGCGUGAGGGAUGACGGCCUUCGGGUUGUAAACCUCUUUCAGUAGGGAAGAAGCCGUAAGGUGACGGUACCUGCAGAAGAAGCGCCGGCUAACUACGUGCCAGCAGCCGCGGUAAUACGUAGGGCGCAAGCGUUAUCCGGAAUUAUUGGGCGUAAAGAGCUCGUAGGCGGUUUGUCGCGUCUGCUGUGAAAGACCGGGGCUCAACUCCGGUUCUGCAGUGGGUACGGGCAGACUAGAGUGCAGUAGGGGAGACUGGAAUUCCUGGUGUAGCGGUGAAAUGCGCAGAUAUCAGGAGGAACACCGAUGGCGAAGGCAGGUCUCUGGGCUGUAACUGACGCUGAGGAGCGAAAGCAUGGGGAGCGAACAGGAUUAGAUACCC
rnacentral:rRNA from 1 species